rnacentral:rRNA from 1 species
UUGUGAACUGCAGGACACAUGAACAUCGACAUUUUGAACGCAUAUCGCAGUCCAUGCUGUAAUGUACUUUAAUUUAUAAUUGGAGUGCUGCUUGGACUACAUAUGGUUGAGGGUUGUAAGACUAUGCUUAAAUAGUUGCUUUCUAUGUAUAAAAAUAUAUUUAUAUAUAAGAGCACAUUUUGUAUUGCUGGAUAAAAUUUUUUAUUCAUAAUACUAAUCGCUGAAGAUUUGGAAACCUCGUAAAUCAAAGUAAUUUUAGAUAAGAUAUAUUUUAAAAUUGUUUGUUUUUAUUGUGGGAAAAGUCUAGCAUAAAAUAACUUAUUAUUAUUUAAUGAAACUAGAAUUGUCCCUAAUAUAAACGUAAAGCAAUAAAAAUUAAUUGAAUAAAAUGAACCGAUUUUGGCACUGGGGUGCCCGAACUUCUUAGUUUAUUAAAUAAAUUAGUUAUACAACCUCAACUCAUAUGGGAUUACCCCCUGAAUUUAAGCAUAA